rnacentral:rRNA from 1 species
UGGGGAAUAUUGCACAAUGGGCGCAAGCCUGAUGCAGCCAUGCCGCGUGUAUGAAGAAGGCCUUCGGGUUGUAAAGUACUUUCAGCGAGGAGGAAGGCGAUGCGGUUAAUAACCGUGUCGAUUGACGUUACUCGCAGAAGAAGCACCGGCUAACUCCGUGCCAGCAGCCGCGGUAAUACGGAGGGUGCAAGCGUUAAUCGGAAUUACUGGGCGUAAAGCGCACGCAGGCGGUCUGUCAAGUCGGAUGUGAAAUCCCCGGGCUCAACCUGGGAACUGCAUUCGAAACUGGCAGGCUUGAGUCUUGUAGAGGGGGGUAGAAUUCCAAGUGUAGCGGUGAAAUGCGUAGAGAUCUGGAGGAAUACCGGUGGCGAAGGCGGCCCCCUGGACAAAGACUGACGCUCAGGUGCGAAAGCGUGGGGAGCAAACA